rnacentral:rRNA from 1 species
CCUACGGGAGGCAGCAGUGGGGAAUAUUGGGCAAUGGGCGCAAGCCUGACCCAGCAACGCCGCGUGAAGGAAGACGGCUUUCGGGUUGGUAACUUCUUUUUUCAGGGAAGAGUAGAAGACGGUACCUGACGAAUAAGCCACGGCUAACUACGUGCCAGCAGCCGCGGUAAUACGUAGGUGGCAAGCGUUGUCCGGAUUUACUGGGUGUAAAGGGCGUGUAGCCGGGUUGACAAGUCAGAUGUGAAAUCCUGCGGCUUAACCGUAGUACUGCAUUUGAAACUGUUGAUCUUGAGUACUGGAGAGGCAGACGGAAUUCCUAGUGUAGCGGUGAAAUGCGUAGAUAUUAGGAGGAACACCAGUGGCGAAGGCGGUCUGCUGGACAGCAACUGACGGUGAGGCGCGAAAGCGUGGGGAGCAAACAGGAUUAGAUACCCUAGUAGUC